rnacentral:rRNA from 1 species
ACUCAAAUGAAUUGACGGGGGCCCGCACAAGCGGCGGAGCAUGUGGCUUAAUUCGACGCAACGCGAAGAACCUUACCUGGGCUUGACAUGCGGGGUGAAACCUUGGAAACAAGGUGCUCUUCGGAGCCCGCACAGGUGGUGCAUGGCUGUCGUCAGCUCGUGCCGUGAGGUGUUGCCUUAAGUGGCGCAACGAGCGCAACCCCUGUCCUUAGUUGCCAGCGAGUCAUGUCGGGAACUCUAGGGAGACUGCCGGUGCCAAACCGGAGGAAGGUGGGGAUGACGUCAAGUCAUCAUGCCCCUUAUGUCCAGGGCUGCACACAUGCUACAAUGCGUGGUACAGAGGGCUGCGAUCCAGCAAUGGUGAGCGAAUCCCAGAAAGCCACGCUCAGUUCGGAUCGAGGUCUGCAACUCGACCUCGUGAAGUUGGAGUCGCUAGUAAUCGCAGAUCAGCACUGCUGCGGUGAAUACGUUCUCGGGCCUUGCACACACCGCCCGU